AUAUCAAUAAGCGGAGGAAAAGAAACCAACAGGGAUUGCCCUAGUAACGGCGAGUGAAGCGGCAACAGCUCAAAUUUGAAAUCUGGCCCUAGCGGUCCGAGUUGUAAUUUGUAGAGGAUGCUUUUGGUGAGGUGCCUUCCGAGUUCCCUGGAACGGGACGCCGGAGAGGGUGAGAGCCCCGUACGGUUGGACGCCAAACCUCUGUAUAGCUCCUUCGACGAGUCGAGUAGUUUGGGAAUGCUGCUCUAAAUGGGAGGUAAAUUUCUUCUAAAGCUAAAUACCGGCCAGAGACCGAUAGCGCACAAGUAGAGUGAUCGAAAGAUGAAAAGCACUUUGAAAAGAGGGUUAAAUAGCACGUGAAAUUGUUGAAAGGGAAGCGUUUGCGACCAGACCUUUUCCAGGCGGAUCAUCCGGCGUUCUCGCCGGUGCACUCCGCCUGGUUGAGGCCAGCAUCGGUUUCCUUAGGGGGAUAAAGGCCUGGGGAACGUAGCUCCUUCGGGAGUGUUAUAGCCCCUGGCGCAAUACCCCUCGGGGGACCGAGGACCGCGCUUCGGCAAGGAUGCUGGCGUAAUGGUCGUCAACGACCCGUCUUGAAACACGGACCAAGGAGUCGAACAUUUGUGCGAGUGUUUGGGUGUCAAACCCUCACGCGUAAUGAAAGUGAACGGAGGUGAGAGCCCUUACGGGUGCAUCAUCGACCGAUCCUGAUGUCUUCGGAUGGAUUUGAGUAAGAGCAUAACUGUUCGGACCCGAAAGAUGGUGAACUAUGCGUGGAUAGGGUGAAGCCAGAGGAAACUCUGGUGGAGGCUCGCAGCGGUUCUGACGUGCAAAUCGAUCGUCAAAUCUGCGCAUGGGGGCGAAAGACUUAUCGAACCAUCUAGUAGCUGGUUACCGC
rnacentral:rRNA from 1 species